AAGUUCAUCUCAAGCCCUUCCUCUGUUCCAUUACUAAGAAAGUUAAGGAUCUUGAUGAGCAAUCUUCAGACAGUUGAUUUGAAAGGCCUUAUAAAUCAACAAAAAUUAGCAUUUUGGAUCAACUUGUAUCAUGCAUAUGUGCAAUUUUGGUUGUAAGCCAUGGGGAUCCCCUGCAAAUCUUGCAAACAAUUCUGCCUGCUGCUAAU